rnacentral:rRNA from 1 species
GAUGAACGCUGGCGGCGUGCCUAAUACAUGCAAGUCGAGCGAACAGACUAGGAGCUUGCUCCUCUGACAUUAGCGGCGGACGGGUGAGUAACACGUGAAUAACCUGCCUAUGACAUCUGGGAUAACUUCGGGAAACCGGAUCUAAUACCGGAUAAUAUAUUGAACCGCAUGGUUCAUUAGGAAAGUCCGUUCUGGCUGUCAUUUAUAGAUGGAUCCGCUGCGCAUUAGUUAGUUCGUAACGUAUCGGUUUAUCAAGGCAUAGAUGCUCACCAACUGAAGAGGGUGAUCCGCCACAGUGAGAGUGACGACACGGUCCAGAAUCGUACGGGAGGCAGCAGUAGUGAAUGUUGCACCAUGGGCGAAAGCCUCACGGAGCAACGCAGCGUGAGUCAGGAACGUCUUCGGAUGGUAAAACUCUGUUAUUUGGUAAGCACAAAUCUGCAAGUAAGUAUGCAAGUCUUGGCGGUACGUAAUCAGAAAGCCGCGUAUAUAUACGUCACCGCAGCCGCUAUAAUAUGUAGGUCGCAAGUGUUAUCCGGAAUUAUUGGGUAUAAAGCUCGUGUAGGCGGUUUUUUAUGUCUGAUGAGAAAGCCCGCGUUUCACCCGUGGAGGCUCAUUGUGAAACUCGAAAACGUGAGCGCUGAAGAGGAAAGUGGAUUUCCAUGUGUAGCGGAGAAAUGCGCAGAUGAUAGGGAGGCACACCAGUGGAGAAGGGGUCUUUGUGGUCUGUAACUGAGGGGGAUGUGAGCAAGCGGGGGGAUCAGGCAGGAUUAGAUACGUUGGUCGUGCAGUCAGUAAUCGACGAGUGGUAAGUGUUACGGGGCUUCCGCUCCGUAGUGUAGCAGAUGCAGCAAUAAGCACUCCGGGUGGGGAGUGCGGCCGCAAGGUUGAUCCUUGGAGGAAUUGGGGGGGAGCCGCACAGGCGGUGGAGCAUGUGGUAUAAUUUGAAGCGAGGAGAAGAUCCUCACGGAAUGUCGACAUCCUGUGGCCCCUAGAGAGAGUGAGUUUUCCCCUUGGGGGACAGAGUCACAGGUGGCGCAUGGUGUUGUCAGCUCGUGUCGAGAGAUGGUGGGAUUAGUCCCGCGACGAGCGCCCUCCUUAAGAUGUAGUCGCCAUCAGUAAGUGGGGCAUUAUAAGUGGCCUCCGGGGUCCAAUCCGGAGGAAGGGGGGGAGGAGGUCAAUUCUUCAUGCCCCUUAGUAUUGGGGUUCCACCCGUGUUCCAAGGGCCAAUCCAAAGGGUAGGGAAACCGGGAGGUCAAGCAAUUCCCAUAAAGUGGUUUUCAGUUGGGAUGGUAUUUGGCAAUUGGCCUAUAGGAAUCGGGAUUGGUUUGUAUUGGUGGUUCGGCAUGCUGCGGUGAAUACGUUCCCGGGUCU